ensembl:snRNA Gm54782 predicted gene, 24501
AGCUGUUACAGCUCUUAUAAAAAUUUUCUAACAGGAUCUCUGCCCUUGGUUGGAAAACCCAA